rnacentral:rRNA from 1 species
CAAUAGCGUAUAUUAAAGUUGUUGCAGUUAAAAAGCUCGUAGUUGGAUUUCUGGUAGGAGUGACCGUUCCGAACUUGAUUGUUCGUGUAUUGUGUUUUCUCCAGCCAUCCUUGUGGAGAACUUUUCUUGCAUUAAUUUGUAGGGAUUGGGACCCGCAUCGUUUACUGUGAAAAAAUUAGAGUGUUUAAAGCAGGCAAUCGCUUGAAUACAUUAGCAUGGGAUAAUAAGAUAGGACUUUGGUACUAUUUUGUUGGUUUGCAUACCAAAUUAAUGAUCAACAGGAACAGUUUGAGGAUAUUCGUAUGAACAUGUCAGAGGUGAAAUUCUUGGAUUUUGAUCAGACGAACUACUGCGAAAGCAUUUAUCAAGGAUGUUUUCAUUAA